rnacentral:tRNA from 1 species
GGAGGUGUCGCAUAGUGGCCAAUUGCGCUAGUCUUGAAAACUAGAGCUUCACAGCUUCACAGGUUCGAAUCCUGUCACCUCCG